UAUUUAUAUAGUUUAAAAAAACAUUACACUUUCAUUGUAAAAUCAAAUUUAUUUUUUAUAA
rnacentral:tRNA from 1 species